ACUGGAAACCCAGGGGUGGACCUGUCCAGAGCCCAUGUUUUUUCUGACAUGUCAGUGCACUGUUCUGUGGGGACCUGUUGCUACCGACCGAAAUUCUAAGAACCCAGGAAGCCAUGAUCGCUGAACAAAGAAUAGUGCCAUGUCUCCACAUUCCAAAUGGGUAAAUGUUUUGCACCUCCUUCGUUCUUGAUUGGAGAUGAGUUUACUGACAAAGGAAUAAAAGAAGCCAUUGAAAUAAAAAUGUGAUUGCUUAGUCCCCAGCAAGAUAAUAGCAGAGGCAAGAAACUCUACAGCCCAGGAGACUGGUAGCUUGUCAGAGCAUCUGAGCUGACAUCAAGCCUUCUUCGAAGCAGUUACAGGGAAUCUGGAGAGUGCCAGCAACAGUAUUCCCUGAGAUCCAAGGCAAACAAAGCCAGCCUUCUCAACCCUGCAGAUUGACAGCCUGGGAAGGGAUAAGCAGUUCUCAGCAUUCUUCCAAGGGCCUGAGAGGAGUGCCAGCCUGAGUGAACCUUGGCAAGACAGGCCUGGGAACCUUCUAGAAGCUGCCCACCUGGAAUGAACCAGUCGACUCCCCUUCUUCCCUCUCUCCCCUUCCCUCCUGCUGUCAUCCAAGAGAUGGCCAAGAAGCACAAGUCAGCAUCAAGACACACAGCUGGAAAUGGGACUGCAGAGGUGACUGACCAUGUGGCCUAGGAGUCAGAAUCCUCAAAUGGGAAGGCCCUAACUGAGGGCAGAAACCCAGAUCUACCUCCUUUGGUGAGCUUGUUGUGGCUUCCAGAUGCAGUGAGGAAGGAACACGUGCCAGGUGCCUCUUUCUCACCCUGGAGCCAGGCACAAGAGUUAUGCUCAGGGAUGCCCAAGCCUAGGGACUAUCUCAGACACAGGAGGUCACUCUCAUGAUGUGGUUUGAGAACCUGGGGUGCUAAAGAUUAUGGUUUUUUUUUCAUAUUCUGCUGGUUUGAGAGAAAAUUACCUUUUAAAAAUGACCAGUAGGUGGUCAGAUUUUCUUUCUAAAUUAAAAGUUGACAUAAAAAUACUUUUUUUUUGACUCAGCACUUCAGUCAUUCUAGUUUGACCAAUUGUCUUUCAUAGAUAAAGAACAUGCAAGAAACAAAUGUGCAAAACCAAGCACAUUGUAACAUUAUAAUAGUGAAGACAUAUGAAUUAUGUAAGCGUCUAAUUACAAGGGAAUGGCUGAAUAAAUUAUGGCAUGUGACAGAAUACUUUGCAGCAGUUAAAAGGAAAAUAUAGAGACUAAUAAACUGAGUUGUUGAGAAAAA
rnacentral:lncRNA from 1 species